UGGGGAAUUUUGGACAAUGGGCGCAAGCCUGAUCCAGCCAUGCCGCGUGAGUGAAGAAGGCCUUCGGGUUGUAAAGCUCUUUCGGCCGGGAAGAAAUCGCACAGGCUAAUACCUUGUGUGGAUGACGGUACCGGAAUAAGAAGCACCGGCUAACUACGUGCCAGCAGCCGCGGUAAUACGUAGGGUGCGAGCGUUAAUCGGAAUUACUGGGCGUAAAGCGUGCGCAGGCGGUUGUGUAAGACAGGCGUGAAAUCCCCGGGCCCAACCUGGGAACUGCGCUUGUGACUGCACGGCUAGAGUACGGCAGAGGGGGGUGGAAUUCCACGUGUAGCAGUGAAAUGCGUAGAGAUGUGGAGGAACACCGAUGGCGAAGGCAGCCCCCUGGGCCGAUACUGACGCUCAUGCACGAAAGCGUGGGUAGCAAACAG
rnacentral:rRNA from 1 species